rnacentral:lncRNA from 1 species
CCUUUUGCUCUUCAUGUCCUUGAAGCUGUGCUACCAGCUUGUGAAUCUGGUAUAGAAGAUGACCAAAUGGCUCGAUUAUCGAAUGUUUGUUUUUCCUUCUUUUGGUUUGUAUGUGGGAGACUUUCAUGGCUCAGGACAAACAUGCUAUUCAAAGAAAGAAAAAUGAACAAGAAAUAAAACUACAGAGAAAAAAAAUAGAAGUAGCGAUGGCAUAUAUGUGUUGGAGUUUCUUUUGGCCAAACACAAUUUUAACCACAACACUACCUGAGCCAUGUGGUGCUGCAGGGCUUACAAUGUUAACCUCUAUCACAAGGGGAAACAGACUUUCACAUUGUACAUCUUUAGGCAGGGAGAUUUCAUUACCCACGUGUGAGACACAGCCGCCAGGACCAUUUGCUUUGAGAAAAAUGG